GGAGAGGUGGCCGAGUGGUUGAAGGCGGCAGUCUUGAAAACUGCUAUAUCCUUAUAGGGUAUCGUGGGUUCGAAUCCCACCCUCUCCG
rnacentral:tRNA from 1 species